rnacentral:sRNA from 1 species
CUUGGUCAUUUAGAGGAAGUAAAAGUCGUAACAAGGUUUCCGUAGGUGAACCUGCGGAAGGAUCAUUAACGAGUUAGGGUCUCUCUGGCCCGACCUCCCAACCCUUUGUCUACUUGGCCAUCGUUGCUUCGGCGAGCCCGUCCUCACGGACCGCCGGAGGGAUCUUUACUGGCCCUCUGGUCCGCGCUCGUCGGUAGCCCAACCUUUAAAAUCUUUAACUAAACGUGCCUUAAUCUAAGUACAAUUAUUAAAUAAAAGCAAAACUUACAACAACGGAUCUCUUGGUUCUGGCAUCGAUGAAGAACGCAGCGAAAUGCGAUAAGUAAUGCGAAUUGCAGAAUUCCAGUGAGUCAUCGAAUCUUUGAACGCACAUUGCGCCCUUUGGUAUUCCGAAGGGCAUGCCUGUUCGAGCGUCAUUAUCACCCCUCAAGCCCUCGGCUUGGUGUUGGACGGUUUGGUGGAGGCCCCCUCGGGGGUUCCUGCCCCUCCCAAAGACAAUGACGGCGGCCUCGUUGGACCCCCGGUACACUGAGUUCUUCACGGGACACGUAUCGGACACAUGGGUUUACGGGACACGGUCUGCCUCCCCUCAGGGAGAAUCUUUCUAAGGUUGACCUCGGAUCAGGUAGGGAUACCCGCUGAACUUAAGCAUAUCAAUAAGCGGAGGAAAAGAAACCAACAGGGAUUGCCUCAGUAACGGCGAGUGAAGCGGCAACAGCUCAAAUUUGAAAUCUGGCCUCUUUGGGGUCCGAGUUGUAAUUUGUAGAGGAUGUUUCGGGUACCGCCUCGGUUUAAAUUUCUUGGAACAGAAUGUCAAAGAGGGUGAGAAUCCCGUCUUGGACCGGCGGUAGGGCCCAUGUGAAACUCCUUCGACGAGUCGAGUUGUUUGGGAAU